rnacentral:lncRNA from 1 species
UUAAAACAGAGAUGUACAAAGGGGUUAGCUGAGCAAUUGACCAUAAAAAAUGCGGUAGAUGUGCUUCAACUGGCCAGGCUCUGUGAUGCACCUGAUCUUUAUCUCAAGUGCUUGAAAUUUAUAUCAACCAAUUUCAAGAAAAUUGAGAAGACUGAGGGUUGGAAGUUCCUCCAAGAUCAUGACUCUCUGCUUGAACUUGAAAUUCUGCAGUUCAUGGACGUGUAUUUGGUACCACAAUUAAAGCAGAGAUGUACAAAGGGGUUAGCUGAGCAAUUGACCAUAAAAAAUGCGGUAGAUGUGCUUCAACUGGCCAGGCUCUGUGAUGCACCUGAUCUUUAUCUCAAGUGCUUGAAAUUUAUAUCAACCAAUUUCAAGAAAAUUGAGAAGACUGAGGGUUGGAAGUUCCUCCAAGAUCAUGACUCUCUGCUUGAACUUGAAAUUCUGCAGUUCAUGGAUGAAGCUGACUCAGUAUGUUUAAAAUUACUUUAGCAUAAUUCCUCUUUGGUUCUUUUAGAUUGACCAAUAUCAGACUAAAUUGAAAUUUUAUCACGAAAAUGUUAUAUAAUGUUAAAGUUUGUCGCUUGAUAGUGAAAUAAUAGGAUUGAAAGAAGUCGUGGCACAAUCUUGGCACAUUUGUUUGCUUCUUCUUUACCAUUCAGUGAAUAUUUAC